rnacentral:lncRNA from 1 species
CAAUCGUAGUCUAUAAGCCACUUGUCCUGUCCACUCAAGUACCUCGUAUGGUCCAUAAUAGCGAGCUGCUAACUUCUGACACAUACGCCUACUAACACUCUGCUGACGAUAUGGUCUCAGUUUCAAAUACACCAUCUGACCCACUUCAAAGACCAAAUAUCUCCUUCUCUUAUCAGCACUGUUCUUCAUCACUUACAGUGCUCGCAACAAAUGCUGCUUUACAUCAGCCAACAACUCAUCUCUUUCCUUUAACAUAGUCUCCAGCUCAAAGUUGUUAGUUGACCCUUCUUCAAACCGUAACAAAGACGGUGGUUCUCUCCCAUACACCAUCUUGAAAGGUGUGCACUAAAUCGCAGUAUGAAACAAGGUAUUAUACCACAGUUCAGCCCACAUCAUUAUUUUGCCCAAGUCUUAGGAUGUGAA